GUGCUUGCUUCAGCAGCAUGUAUCUUUUAAUUGGAUGAUUCAGAGAUUAGCAUGGCCUGCGUGCAAGGAUGAUAAGCAAAUUUGUGAAGUGUUCCAUAUUUUU